UCUUCACUCUCUCUAUUUCUCUCUCUUUCUCUCUGUCUCUCUCUUUCUAUCACUGGCACUGGAAUCCAUAGGCGUCCAGAGGACAGAAACAGGACAGAAAGGGUACCCUUGGCACCACAUAGCACCACAACCCACCACAGACAUGUCGGAUUCUGAGACCGCGGCUGCCCCCGCAGUGGCCCCCGUCCCUGCAGCGUGCGCCAGCGUCAAAGCAGACCUGGACAAAUGCAUGGCGGAGAAGGGAGCCGAGGGCUGCAAAGAGCUGAUGGAGGCCUUCGCCGCCUGCGUGAAGAGCGCGGCUGAGGGGACGUCGUGAGGGGCCCCCUGCAGCCUGACAUGUCCAAUGCACUGAGUCCUCCAAGUUCCCAGCAUUCCCUUCUGCACAACAGCACUCGACUGAAUGGUGAUAACAAUAAGGAUGAUGAUUAUCGUGGGACAAACACUGUGUUGAUCGGUCUGAGUUUGGGAUCUGGAAGCAGUAACCUUAGCAUCCCCUCCCUCCCCCAUCCGUUCCUCUCCCUGUUUUAGCCGUACCAGGUCUCCCUCAGUCUUUCCGUCAUCCUCCCUGCUGAUAUCCAGUACAUUGACAAUUCCAGAGAGCUGAUGGGCUGCGAUGUAACCUGUCGACUUGAGAUAAAUGCUUAUAAAUGGAAAUAAAGUAUAAAAGAAAUGGUGUGAAAACGAA